GACGAACGCUGGCGGCGUGCCUAAUACAUGCAAGUAGAACGCACAGUUUAUACCGUAGCUUGCUACACCAUAAACUGUGAGUUGCGAACGGGUGAGUAACGUGUAGGUAACCUGCCUGGUAGCGGGGGAUAACUAUUGGAAACGAUAGCUAAUACCGCAUAAUAUUGAUUAUUGCAUGAUAAUUGAUUGAAAGAUGCUAUUGCAUCACUACCAGAUGGACCUGCGUUGUAUUAGCUAGUAGGUGAGGUAACGGCUCACCUAGGCGACGAUACAUAGCCGACCUGAGAGGGUGAUCGGCCACACUGGGACUGAGACACGGCCCAGACUCCUACGGGAGGCAGCAGUAGGGAAUCUUCGGCAAUGGACGAAAGUCUGACCGAGCAACGCCGCGUGAGUGAAGAAGGUUUUCGGAUCGUAAAGCUCUGUUGUAAGAGAAGAACGGGUGUGAGAGUGGAAAGUUCACACUGUGACGGUAUCUUACCAGAAAGGGACGGCUAACUACGUG
rnacentral:rRNA from 1 species